CAGAAGAGGUUAUAAGCAAGCAAGCCUGCUAAGAAGUUAGUUGUGGGCGCCAAUCGACGCAAUGCAGAUGAAUCCUAUUUUCGCCAGCCGAUAGAGCCCUGAGAGCAGGCUGCCUACGGCGCUCCCGUCUGCCCCCACCCCAAACCUCACUACUCCUUCCCUCCCAACCCAUCUCCCCUUCUCCUGGCUCCCCUUCUGAUCUUGCUAGGCACCCGUUCUCCACGCCCUUGCCCAAACCCAGACCCCAGGGCUUCCCUGACAGCCCACAGAAUCAAGGCCUAACUCCUCCUCAAGGGGGCGCCACUGAGCCUCAGCCCCGUGCAACCCGCCUGUCCUGCCGCAGCCUCACAGCUCAGCCCCUUCCUCCUGCUGCUUCUCCAGGCACCGCCUGCCCCCAGGUGCUCUCUCGCCCACGCAUUCCUCAGCACACACUAGGUCCCUCCUCCGGCCCCGGGUGACAGACAGUCUUCGUAAGAAGGAAGCCAUCAGCUGCCGUUUGCUAAGAACUUUGUGCGCCCGGCACCGCCCUCGGGUAAGAAAGGCCUCAUUUAAUCCGCACAGCGACGACGAGAUUUCCACAGCAAUGAGACCGAGACCCGAAGAAGCAAAGUCGGCUUUUGCCCAAGAUCAGGCUGCACAGUCGCUGGGAGAGACAGAGGAGCGGGGGAAUGUCGCCCGGGGCAUCUGAAAACAUCGGACAAAGGUUGCUUGUGCAAGGCUGUCUCCUGGGAUUCAGUGUGCCCGGGGGCCUUGGCCCUGCUCUUCAAAUGCCCUCAAAAUGCCCCAAUUGAGCUCUAAAUUUAAGGGAACCUCGGGUGUGUGUGUGCUGCACUCUGCUUUGUGGUGGGCACCUCCUCUCCUCACUCCUGGGCAAAGGAGAGGAACCUACCCUGGUGAGGACUGGCGGAUAGACUUCACUAACACACCCCCAGCAAAUGGUCACAAAUAUUCUUCAUAGUUUUCACUGGCUGGGUAGAAGCCUCUUCUGAACCAAACAGAAAAAACUCACAAGUAUCCAACAUCCUACAAAAAGCCAGGAUCCCGUGUUUUGGGCUCCAGAAGCCUUUGUCUCUGGUAACUCAGGCCCUGGGAAUCUCUGCCUGCGUCCAUGCCUCUUGGAGGCUGCAAUGUUCAGGCAAGGCUGAAAGGGCCAGUCAGGGUCUUAGAAGGACUCUGGCCAAGCUAUGCCAAGAGACCUCAGGAUCCUGGCUCAGGCUAUUGCCAGCUGCCCUCCUUAGGAUAAGGGUGGUGCACCCAAGGCCGCCUUACAGCAGAGCCCUUCCUGGCCGCCAACAUCCUCUCACUCAGAGACCCCAAACCGAGCACUGUCAGUCUAGAUCAGGUGCCAGGAGGCUCUGGUGCAAUAUGGCACCAAGAUGCUCCCAGUCCCAGAGUUUAAGAACUCGUAAACAACCAGUGUCCCCAGGAGAUCUAGUUUUGCUAAAACUUGGGGAGAGGGAUCCCCGCUCUGACCAACUGCAGCUUAAACCGAAAGGACCCUAUCGGGUGCUCCCUAGCACUUCCACUGCGGGUAAAUUUGGGGGGAGUUACAGCCGGGCCCGUGAGUCUUCACAGGGACACCAGAGGGUAACUGCCUACUCGUGAACCAGUGGAGGACCUCAGCUUUCUCUCCUAAAGGCUAACAGGAAGCUAUCACUGGCACAAACUCCACCCUUGUAAACUUUUCCACCAUAAUCCCAGAAGGAGAGAAUCUUACUGCCUGCUACGAAGCUGCUCUGAGAAACCCAUGUGCUGCCUUGGGUGGCUUAGUCCACGAUGAAACCAAGAAGCCUCAGCCACUCGCUCACUGCCCAGAGACAAACACUGCAGUGUACUCCGUGCCCUUGGAGCUCCGUUGGCUCUCCCACCCUGUGGCCUUCAUACCCCACCCUGCAUUCUCUUUCCA